CGCAGAGCUGAGAGGGGAACAUCCGAGUGAUGUCAGCAGAGCGUCACCAAGAGGACUUCAGCCGAAAAGCGGAGAGAUCUUCAGAGAGAGGAGAGGCUGCGGGAGCAUGUCUGCAAACCUGCGCUCUCUGAGCUUCAGUGAACUGAACCGGCGACUACCUGGAGGUUACCCAGGCUGGCCCUGGUGGCUUCGUUUCACACUAGCCUCGCUCCUAGGAUCUCCCCAGGACGGAUCUUCCACACACAACUACCUGACGCCAAACUCUGGAACUUCCCCGACUGGCUGCUUCCGGACCCGGAUUCUCCAGAGACCAUUCAACCUAACCUGUCCACCCUCCACCUCUCCGCUGACGCUUCGCCUGCACUCCAAGCUGUAACCCAAGUAACUAAGAAAUCAUCGGACUUACCAUUGUCUCCAUAUUCACUUCUUCUCCAGUCCGAAUCCCUCUCCUCCUGGUGGAUUGCCUACUCCCUCCUAGUAAGAGACAUUUCACAUUUAAGUUCCAGUUCCGUUUACUGUGCCACUUACCUGUCGUUUUUCCUUACAGUUGUUCCUGCACACCAUACCGAUCCAUUCUCCUUAAAUAAACCUUUUUCAAACUUG